rfam:Bordetella petrii strain DSM 12804, complete genome
AAGCUGCCCGCAUGUUCGCUGAUUCGUCAGCACAUGCCAGCAGCCAGGGUUUCAGGCUGCCGCGGGUCUCUCCCGCGUUGCCCACCAGUCCGCAUCGCAUCAAGUCUGCGGACGCGCGUCCCCGUGACGUCGAUGC